rnacentral:misc_RNA from 1 species
UUUCCGUAGGUGAACCUGCGGAAGGAUCAUUAUCGAGUUUUGACUGGGUUGUAGCUGUCCUUCCGAGGCAUGUGACCGCCAUGCUCAUCCACUCUACACCUGUGCACUUACUGUGGGUAUCAGAUCGUGAAGCGUGCUCUUUUACCGGAGCUUGUGAAGCGUGUCUGUGCCUGCGUUUAUCACAAACACUAUAAAGUAUCAGAAUGUGUAUUACGAUGUAACGCAUCUAUAUACAACUUUCAGCAACGGAUCUCUUGGCUCUC